rnacentral:lncRNA from 1 species
CAAGUUGCUGCUCAAAGGCUGCAGAAAAGAUUCAUCUAUUGCUUAUCAAAAGAGGAUGAAUACAUAGCUAUUUAUAGGGUUUCUAAACCCUAACUCCUAAUAGGACUCCUACUCAAGAGUCCUACUCAAGACUCCUAAUAGGACUCCUACUCAAGACUCCUAUUCCCUUACAACUCCUAAUUCUUCUCUAAGAAAAAACCUCCUACAUGAAUGUCCCUCUUAAUUAGGACUCUCCUAGCUAGAGUCCUAACAGAAUGUCCCUCUCAAUUAGGACUCUCCUAGCUAAAGUUCUAACAGUUUUACAUGAAUGUCCCUCUCAAUUAGGACUCUCCUAGCUAGAGUCCUAACAUGUAGGUCAUGAUGACCGAACCACUAUAAAAAUCUAGUUUGUAUUUACUUCUUGCUAUUUAUUUUUAUUGCAAACUGAAUCCUUACUUACACUAUACUCUCAUAUGUUUUCAAGUUAAUAUCUUUCCGAGAUCAAUUUUUAUCAUAAGAAGAAUUUUUUAAAACUGACGUUUUUAUCCGCUGCUCUAAUUCACCCACCCCCCCCCCCCAACACCCCCCCCCCCUCUUAGUGUCGACUCAUUCCUAAUAAAUCAAAAAAUCUAUUUUUGUGUGGUGUUUGUAUAAUGCAAGCAUUAGAUUCAAAUUUGAUGUUAUAACCCUUAAACACACAAUUGACUAAUGCUUAGCAAGUUAUGUUUUAAACCAUCUACUAAUAAAAUAUUUUUAAUCAAAAGGCUUAAUUUAUUACCUAUCUUUUUUUUAUUAAUAAUUUUUCCUUUAUUGUUGUCUCCGAAUAUGACAUAUCUUUCAUCUUGGCUAGUGAGCUUAAAGAAUUGUAUUGGAUCUCCGGUCAUAUGGAUUAAACAUCCACUAUCAAGGUAUUAUCUCUUGCUCCUAGCUUUUGAUUAUAGACAUAUAAACAAGAAAUGGGGUUUUGCUUUAGGUACACACUUAGCUUUCGAUCCCUCAUGAAAAGAUUUACCUAUUUUGAGUAAUGGUAUUAAGUUAUUUAUGGUUCCUUUAGGAACCUAAACUAAUUUGUAUGAGCUAUAUUUUUUAAAUGAACAUUUAUAAGUAUAAUGUCCACACCUACCAUAAAAAUUAAAUUUAUUUUAAGGGGAAACAUGUAAUGUGGGUCCUUUAAUGAAAGUAGUUAGUUUUUGUUGAGUGUUACUUACAAAGUCAAUUCCUUCCUUUUUAUGAAGAUGACCCUUAUUGGCAAAAAUUAUGUUUAAUGAUUUGUUAUCAAUUUUAUUUUUUUCUAAAAUUUAUUGUAAUACUAUAUUUUCUUUCUUAAGUGAAUCUAAUUCUUUAUACUUAAUGCAAGGGGUUAACAAACAUUUAUCAUACUCAUUUUUUAAAUUAUCAAAUUCAUUAGAAAGAGAAGUAUGAUCUUUUUUAAUAAUUUAUAUUUUUUACCAACUAAUUUAUAUUCAUCAAAUAAAUCAUGAAAAGUAUUAUGUAAUUCAUCGUGAGGUAAAUGGGUUUCAGUUGAGUCGCAUACCUUGUCAUAAAGAGUCAUCAAUGUGUAGUUCAUCACCUCGCCUUCAUUGGUUUGCUCCUCAUCUUCGGAUGAGCUCGAUUUGUCCCAAGUUGCAUUGAGUGCUUUCUUCUUUUUUGGCAGCUUCUUCUUCUUCCAUUAAGGACAUUCACUUUUGAAGUGUCCCGACUUCUUACAUUCGUAGCAGAUGAUUGUGUCCUUUUUUAGUUCAUUUUUGUUUUUAGAAUCUUAUUUUACAAGAUUUGUUUUGUUUCUUCUUAUGAAUUUUUUAAAUUUUCUUGAUAGAAGUGUCAAGUCCUCAUCAUCACUUGAGCUUUUGUUAAGUGGUCUUCUUUAGUUCUAAGUGUCAUAUCCUUCCUAUUCUUUAGAAGGUUAUUCCCUUGUUCAUCAUGUUCAUCAUCUGCCUUGCAUGUCAUUUUAUAGGUUAUUAAUGACCCUAUGAGUUCUUCGAGUGGAAACAGUUCAAGUCCUUUGCUUCUUGAAUAGCAGUUACUUUUGGAUCCCAAUUUUUAGGAAGAUAUCGUAAAAUUUUAUUAAUAAGUUCAAGAUUCGAAAAACUUUUACCAAGUGCUUUCAAACAAUUGACGACAUCCGUAAAACGAGUGUACAUGUCUCAAAUGGUUUCGCUUGAUUUCAUUCGAAACAAUUGAAAACUAUGUAUCAAAAGAUUGAUUUUAGACUCUUUAACUCUACUUGUGUCUUUAUGUGUAACUUUGAGAAUGUGUCAAAUAUCAUAUACAGUUUUGCAUAUAGAAAUAUAAUUAAAUUUAUUUUUAUCUAAAAAAUAAAAUAAAAUAUUUAUAGCUUUUGCAUUUAAAGAAAAUAAUUUUUUUCUCUAGAUCAUUCAAAUCAUUCAUUGGUCUAAAGGAUUUUGAAAAUCAUAUUCUAUAAUAUUCCAUAAAUUAAAGUCCAUAGAAAUUAGAAAAAUCCUCAUGCGAGUUUUCCAAUACAUGUAGUCUGUCUCAUUGAACAUAGGAGGAGAAGUGAUAGAAUGACCCUUUAGAUUGUUGAUAAAAGUCAUUCUCGGGUGUUAAACCAAUCGAGAAAAACUUGGGUCUGGUACCAACUAUUAGGACUAUUUCGGCACUAGAUUGGAAAUAAGUUUAACUUAAAAUGUUUAUAAAGUAGUGAGCAAGUAAAUCAGUUAGUAAUAAGAAUGAAAAGCAUAACAGAAAUACAAACUGAGUUUAUAGUGGUUCGGUCGUCACGACCUACGUCCACUCCCGAUUCCUCUUCCGUCGAGGCCAUCGGCAUUCACUAACGAUCUUUUUUCAAUGGGCGAAGACCAACUACCCUCUUACAACUCUUUUUUCUUUUCACAGGUCUAGGAGAAAAUAUUUAUAAGUCUCACACAUCUCUUAGAAUGAUCUUAAAACUUUAAGUAGGUUGAGGAGGACACUUAGCAAUUUUCAAGACUCUACAACUCAGAAUCACUACAAUUUUUAUUCUCUUGUCAUGCUCCUUCGAACAAGAAAGAGUCGAGUAUUUAUAGGCUCCAAUGGCUUCAAAAAUGAGCUAAAAAAUAUAUUAUCCCAGAUUUCCAAGGUACUAGCGGUACCACCACCAUUACUAGGCGAUAUCACCGCUUGUCAAGCUAACAAUUGACGAUACUAUCGUCUAGUCUAGGCAAUACUACCACCUACCAGACUGACACUGGGCGAUACCACCGCCCAGUCUAAUGGAUACCACCACCUGACAUAGACUGAGAGAUUGUGUCUAGGUGGUACCAUCGCUUGACACUAGCGGUACCAUCGCCUAGGUUUCCCGGAGACAUACACUGUCUCAUAGGCGGUUCCACCACCUGGGCCAGCUUAGAACAUUAAAUUGAUCUUUCAAUAGACCCAAUUCAACCCUGAUUUAGGCCCAACUGACCCCUAAUUAAGUUGACAUGGUUGUACCCAAAAUCAACUCAAUUAGACUCUAAAACUACGGCGAUCAUGACUUCAAUGAUUAUAAAAUGUAGAAUCUUUUGUUGUCUAGCAUAUCAUUAGUUCAUCCGAACUCUCGGCGAACUUUUAGUGCAUCGUCCGAACCUUCGGCAUAUCGCCCAAUACAUCCACAUGUUGACUCCCGCAACAUCCGAUCUUAGCAUAACAUCCAAUUCUUCAAGCCUAAUGCCCAAUUUCUGACUCUGACUCAAUGUCUGAUUCUUCUUGCUUUAAUUGUUUCACCGUUUCAUGAUCAAAGUUAGUCUUGCAUCACUUUUCUCAAAAAUACAGAUUAGAUCGUACACUCGUCAAUUGAUUUCAUCAUCAAAAUCCGAGGUUCAAUAGAUAAUAGAGUCAUAGGCAUGACGGUGUCAUGGUAUCACUGAGGUGGGACUUUCAUGGAAUUAUCGAUCCCUUAAUUUUAUAGAGGAAGAGCACUUGGUCAUGAAAGGAGCCGAGGAGGUAAAGAAUAUAGAGGCAAACUCCAAGUGCCAAGAUAAGUCUAAAGGGCAAAGGCUAGGGAACUUUAUAAAACUAGUGUCGAUAGGCUUUUCAUCAAGAUAGUUGAAAAUAUGGGACUUUGGGUUGAUGCAAGAGUGCACAACAAGGAAUGGAGGAGAUAGUAUGCAAUGUGGUACCUUUUCCACUUAGAGGCAUAGGCGACAGAAAUGAUAGAGAAGACGGUAUAAUCCCAGAGAUGACUAAAACUAUUAGAGACUUGCUCCAAGUCAUGACAAAAUUUUACUUUUUUUAGGUAAAAAAUUCUUAUAUUUUAAAAGGUUAAUGAUAAUAAGGAGGCAAAUCACAGUAGCUAACUUAAUGCAAGGAGUACAAACAUUUUGGAUGCUUGAGAAGUGUAAGCAAAGAACAAGCGAAAGCUAAUAACCAACUUGAUGCAUGAAGUAUAAUCUCGAAGAGGCAAGCAAAGUCAAGUAAUAUUUGCCUUCUCAACUUUGAAGAGAAUGGGCAAAACUGAGUAUUCAAGUUCUCUUAUUUAUCCAACAAAUAAGCUCUACAAAUGUUCAAAGGUUCUUCGAAGAAACUUAAUGGAGAACAAUAGUUAUCAAAUCCUCACCAAUAGUAACCGAUUCUACCAAAAGCAGACUCUUUGCUUUAUUUCCAACAGAAUGUCAAUCGAAAGUGAAAGUAAUGUGAACCUACUUGUAAGUGACAACUUAGUAGAAGAUGAAUCGACGGACAAAUUUUAUGGAGGAAAGACCUUAAAAACUUCAAAAUCAAUGAGACAAUGCUCAUUAAAGCUCCAAUAGGCAUCCAACCAGUUCAAGUAACGUGAGAUAUUUUAGAGAUUGACAUAUAACAAGGAAUGUCUUUUCUUUCAACUGAAGGAUUCAUAGGAAUCAAUAAAGAUUAGCAUAACUCAACCAACCCCACACUAGAGUCAGAGUCAUUGACGAGUUGUAGCAUGACGAAUCAAAGUUCAACUACUCAAUAAUAAUGGUGGAGGGUGCAUUAUAAUUAGAUCAAAAGAUUGAGGAUCCCACAAAAGUAAGAAGAUGUAGCAUCUAUAAAGGCUUUGACGAGAACAUCAAAGGAAUAAGUGGGGGAGAAUAUCAUAGACAAAGUUAUAAAUAAGGUAUUCGAUGUAAUGCUUGUGUAUAUCCAUAUCUUUUAGUUUUGUUCAUACUUUACAUAGCAUAUAGAGAGUUUAUAGUAGGAUUAAUAACCCUAGUUUAGUUGGCUUUUAUGGUCAUUUCAGUAUUGUAAAUGCAAGUUAUAUGUAAUCAUCGCAUAGAGGCAAAAUUGUCUAGAAACAAACCAUCCAAGCAACUAUUUUGGGGGUUUUCUAUCUCCGCAGAGUAGUAUGGACUAUCAACUAGCAAAGCACUGAAGAGCUAUCCAAGUGGCAAAUGGUUGGAUAGACCUUUAGGGUAGUGGCUUAGGUUGAUUUGUUGUCUUGUUCUGUAGAAGUGUCAUGUGGGCACUUAUAGGGGCUUUUGAUCACAGUGAACCACUUUGGACCCUUUGUUGUAUAACCAUUCAAAGCUUGUAAAGUCUAUGUUUGUAGUUUGCAUUAUCUAUCAAGUGCUUGCUGAAUUGACUGUUUAUUGAAUCUCGAGUUAAAUGCUUCCUCUAAUCUAUUUUCUCUUUUAUCGGUUAAGAACCAUAAAAAAUUUAAGGGAGGCCGACUCUUUGCAAACGAAUAUAUAAGAAUGUCACACGAUUUAGAUAAAACUAACUAAGUCCGUGAGAGUCAGGUAUUUGGAGAAACUUGGGACUACUAAAGUCAAGAAGGGUCAUUGGUGUGAUUUGAUUAACCGAUGAUAUCGACCUAAGAUCUACUCAAGCAAAACUAUAAUAUUUUUGGCACUUAAGCUUUCAACUUAUAAAUAUCGGGUAACCCUUCCAUUAGAAGAACGGAGAUGAUCACAUCAGACGAAUCAGAGUUGAUUUGAUGACUUCAAAUUUGGGUUCACAUCAUGUGGUUGGAAAGUGCCCUUAUUUAUAGUUUUUUUUUUUACGAAAACAUGACAAAUUUGAUAAGCAACAUAUAUCAAAUCUUGUUGCAAUAGGUACCUCAGCCUCCAAAAGGUUGAUAAGAUUCCUAGAGUUUUAUCGUAGAAGAAGAGAGAAAAUGAAUGAUUGCUUGAAGGGGAUCGAUCUCCUUGAUCGUUUCAAGGGGAUCAGUCUCCUAGGGUUUGUUAAAAGACUGGAUAGUAUUUUAUUGAUAAUUUAAAAGAAAUAGAUACAUCCAUAUUUAUAGAAUUUCACUCAGAGUCCAUCUAGACUUGGACUCUUAAUAAUAAAUAAAUAUUAAAUAAACCCCUAUCCGACUCUUACCAAACUAAACAGACUCAACAAAAUAUUAUUCAAAAGCUCAGAAAAUAAAAUAAUCCUAACAAUUCCUUUUUCUUCAAUUCAACCUUAUCCUCAAGGCUAAACAACAUCAAAUUCAGGAAACUUCUCUUUUAGCGCCUUGUAAGACUCCCAAAUGGCAUCUUCCUUUAAUAAGUUGGCUUAUUGCACCAGCACUUCAGUCAUAGGAUGUUUACGGUAUAUUUCAACUCAUCAAUCAAGUAUGACUUGUGGUUGAGCUUGAACUUCCCUAGUAGUAAAGAUGUCCAGCAAAUGGCAUUGCACUAUCUCAUCUUCACCCAACUUCCUCUUUAAGGUAGGAAACAUGAAAAAUUGGAUGUAUUUUAGAGUUAGUAGGCAAAUCUAGGUGGUAGGCAACAGGUCCAAUGCGUUCUAAUACUUUAUAAGGCCUAAAAAAUCGAGGAGACUGCUUCAUGGAAGAUCGAACCUUUAUGGAAGUUUACUUGUAGGGUUGAAGAUGAAGGAAAACCCAAUCACCCACGAUAAAUUCUCGUUCACUUCAGUGUUUAUCAGCUUAUUGUUCCAUUCUUGCUUGUGUGGUUAUGAGGUUAUCCUUUAAAAGAUGAAUAAUCUUAUUUCUAUCAAUCAAUUCCUUGUCCAGUUGAUCAACUUAGAAGAAUCGAGUACAUAUUUUAUAAUUGUAGGUGGAGGUCGAUCAUAAACUGCUUCAAAUGAAGUCAUUUUAAUAGAAAAAUGAUCAGAGAUAUUAUACCACCACUCUACCCAGGGAAGCCAUUUAAUCCAUUCCUUCGGCUUAUCACUAGUAAAGCUUCUCAAGUAAUUUUCUAGGCACAUGUUUACCACUUCAGUUUACCUAUCUAUUUGUGGAUGAUAAGCUAGUAAAAACCUUGUCUCUAUCACUAACAAUGGAACGGAAACUCCCAUGCAAUUUAGCUAUGUUCUCCAUAAAAAUACGAGCAACACUUGCGGCAAUAUAAGGAUGUCAUAAAGCACAUAAAUGAGCAUACUUUGAAAGCCUAUCCACAACUACAAGUAUAGUACUUUUUCCUUAUGAUGGUGGGAGUCCGUCAAUGAAGUUGAUAGAUAUGUCAGUCUAAGCAACAUUAGGAAUAGGGAGGGGCUAAAGCAAGUCUGGGGUGGCUACUAUCUUACUUUUGUGGCGCUGACAAACAUCACAUUCAGUAAUAAAUUUCUUGAUAAAAUUUAUCAAACCUUUCCAGUAAAAAGUUGUCGGACUUGUUUAUAAGUGCAGAGAAAUCCGAAAUGACCAGCAAUUGGUGAUGAAUGGAACUCCUUCAUAAUUAUCUCCUAGGAAGAAGAAUGUGGUGCUACAACUAUUCGACCUUUAUAGCGUAAGUCCACUGAAUCCCAACUAUAAUUUAGGAUAGAACCUAGAGCUUCUUCUAGUCUUUUAAUAAUAUUCUGGAUCUCAGGAUCAUCUUACCAUUCCCUCCUAAUAACUUCCAAAGUCUCAUAAAUAGGAAUAGAAAUAGCUACUAGUUUAGCUUGUUCUGGAAGGCGUGAGAGUGCAUCUACAACUAGAUUCUCGCUCCCCUGUUUAUAAAUGAUCUCACAAUUGAAUCUCAGUAGCUUUGUGACCUAUUUCAGUUGCUCUAAAGAAGAUCUUUUGGUCCAGAAAAUAUUUAAGGCUUUUAUGAUCAGCGCAUAUUUGAAACCGUCGGUCAAUUAAGUGGGGUCUCCAUUUUGUGACUGCAUGUACAAUUGCUAGCAUCUCAUUAUCAUAAAUAGAUAAACUCAUAUGGGAAGGGGAAAGAGCCUUACUAGCAUAAGCAAUGGAUCGACCUUCUUGUAUUAAUACAACUCCUAUACCAGCUCUAGAAGCAUCAAAUUCAAUCACAAACAACUUGUUAAAAUUGGAUAGAGCAAGCACUGGUGUAGUAGUCAUUGUAAUUUUCAAGGAAUUAAAUGUCUGGGUUGCCUCUUCUGACUAUUUGAACACAUCUUUCUUCAGAAGUGAUAUCAAGGGGGCACUAAUUUUGCCAUAAUUUUUCACAAACUUUCGAUAAUAGCUCGUCAAUCCCAAGAACCCCUUUAAAGCUUUGAUUGACUUCAGAAUUGGCCAGUCUUUCAUCACUUGGAUUUUUGAAGGAUCAACUGCAACACCCUUUUGAGAGAUGAUAUGGCCAAGAUACUCAACCUCUGGUUGCCUAAAACUGCACUUGGAUUUCUUAACAAAAAGACAAUGUACACAAAGAAUAUUAAAGACAGUUCGUAAAUGUAAUAAAUGACUCUUUGAGGAGGGACUAUAUAUCAAAAUAUCAUCAAGGAAAACCAGAACAAACUUACAGAGAUGAGCCCGAAAUAUAUCAUUCAUUGGUUAACCCAAAAGGCAUUACUAGAAAUUUAUAGUGACCGUUAUAUGUCUUGAAGGCAGUUUUUUAAAUAUCACCUUCAUGUACUCUGAUUUAAUGAUAGCCCGAUCUUAGGUCCAAUUUAGUGAAAACCUGGGUUCCUCCCAAUUCAUCCAACAGUUCAUCCACCACCGGAAUAGGAUAUUUAUCUUUCACCAUAAUGUUGUUGGGUGCUAUGUAGUUCAAACGCAUCCGCCAUAAGCCAUCCUUCUUUCUAACUAGUAAGACUAUAGAGGAAUAUGGGCUAACACUAGCUCUUAUAACUCUUAUUUUUAGCAUCUCUUUGACAAUCUUCUCUAUCUCUACCUUUUGGAAAUGUGGAUAUCUAUAGGGUCGGAUGUUGGUUGGUGCUUUCCAAAGUAAUAUUGGAAUUCGAUGAUCAUGAUGUCGAAGAGGUGGAAGUCCUUGUGGCUCUGCAAACACAUAUGCAAACUCUUUGAGCAAUGAUUCUAUAUUUUCAGUUGGGAUGUGCACUAUUGUUUCCUUUUCAAUGUUCUGCAAUUGUAUCAAGAAUCUGGUGUGUCUUCUGAAGAACCCUCUCCAUCCGAUGGCUAGUGACAGUUGUGACCUUACUUCGUCUUUUCUUUAGGAUCAUCUGCUUUCCAUUAAUAAAAAAAACUUCAUAAUUAGUUUAGAAAAAUUUUAGGAAACAUCACCCAGGGCUGAAAGUCAUUCAAUUCCAAGAACUACUUCAUAGUCUUCUAAGGGUAGUAAAAAAAAUCCACAAGCAAUUCUUGGCCCUACAUAGUCAGUUUUAUCUUUGAGCACUUACUAUAACGGGUUAGAAUCCGUCCAUCAACGACCUUUACUUCAAAUUUAUCACAACCUUCGAUGUGGUUCAAUAUAGUAAGCUUAUCGGGCUGCAACUUUACUAUCCAUAAAAUUGUUAGUGCUACCAGUAUCAAUCAAAACAGUAACGGGCUGAUGCUUCAAAGUUCCUCCAACUUUCAUAGUUUGUGGGUUAGAGUAGCCAACCAAUGCAUGCACUAUAUGUGUGAUAGGUUCAAUAUCUUCAUCAGUUACCAUACCUUCAAGAUUAGAGUCCAACUCUUCGUCUUCUGAUUCCUCCUCAAUCGACUCAAUCAUCAGAAGUUUCCUUUGUUUGCAUCGGUGCUCCUUACUCCACUUUUCAUCAUAAUGUCAGCACAAACUUUUCGUUGAUCUUUCUUUGAGUUCUUCUCGGGUUAGUCUUCGAGUGUUAGAGCUUCGACUAGGAGUAGAUGGGGUGGGCGGCUUGCUGAUCACAUGUUUGUUGACACCUCUAUUUCGACGAUUUUUCAUGCUUAUUAUUUCGUCAUGCAGACGUGCAAAUGAAAUCGCAAUUAUCAUAGUGCGGGGUUGACAAGGCUUAACUUCACAUUGGAUAUUUGGAUUAAGUCAUUUGAUAAAUGUACCUACCAGUUAUCAUUCAGACCAAUCUCUAGCUUUAUUUGACAAUCGUUCAAACUUGCUUUAAUAUUCCAACAGUGUAGAAGUCUGACAAAUUUUGGCGAUUUGUCCAUCAACAUUCUCGUAUUCAGAUGGUCCAAUGCGAACAAGAAGCCCUAUCUUGAAUUGCUCCCAUGAGGAGACUCUAUGGCAAGUUUCGUACCAAUCAUACCACUGAAUUACAUCUUCAUCUAACUAGAUUAAGGCUAUUUCCACAUCUUCUCAUCUUGGAAAUUCCACCUUAAUACAUUGGUAGCUUGUGUCAUAUUCUUGGGGCCCUUUUCCUAUAUCUCCAAAUCUGUUCAACGCAGAACUUAAACUUUCAUCUUGUUGAAACUUGUUAAAGUUUUCCAAUAAGCUAUUUCUGAAAUCGUUAAGGGUUUCUUGUAGUCGGUUCUCAAUUCUGGUUUCCAAUGCUUCAAUAUGUGCUUUCACUGAGUAAUCAGUAGCCAUUGCGUAAGACUAAAAAUCUAUAAUCCCCAGUUCUUGUUUCUGAUGUCUGGUCAAGGGCAUCAGCACUGUCGACGCGAAGCUACCGAGGAAGCGGACACCAAGGGCAACGUAAAGGCUUGCUACAGUCGCUACGAGGAGGAAAAGUUAUUGCCCUAUUUCUAUCGCUGCGUAGGGUGACAACGCCGAGGGCCGGAAGGCGACGACGUCGGUGUGGCUGUAGUUACUGCGACCCAAGGGAGCAAUCGGCGAGCAGCCAGGGUUGAGGCUAUGGUGGUGCGGUUGGGAGUAGCUACCAAAGCUGCUAUUAAGGUUGGGAAGUGGCAUUGACAACGGUCGAGAGGCAAUGGUAGUGGCAACCGGCAGCUGCUAUAGAGGAUGCAGAGCAUGGGGGAGGCAGCGUUGAUAAGGUUGGGAGGCAGCAUUGACAAGGGUCGAGAAGCAAUAGUGGUAGCGAUCGAUGACUGUUGUGAAUGUCGGUGGAGAAGAGGAAGCGGUGGUGGCGCGACUAGGAACAAUGGCAAUCAGUGGGCUAUAGAUAUCCACAUUUUCAAAAGGCAAAGAUAGAAAAGAUUGUCAAAGAGAUGCUAGAAAUAGGGGUUAUAAAAGCUAGUGUUAGCCCAUAUUUCUCCUCAGUCUUAUUGAUAAGAAAGAAUGAUGGCUCGUGACGAAUGUUCGCGGACUACAGAGCACUCAACAAUAUUACAAUGAAAGAUAAAUAUCCUAUUCCAAUGGUGGACUCUAGGUGGGCUUCUUUCUCGCUCAAGAAGGAUGUGACUGUCGGCUUCCUUAUUUCUUUCUUUUCUUUUUUUUUUAGAUUUUUUUUUUAGAUGAUGAUAGCUACGAUGAGGUGUUGCGAGAAAUUGUAGCGAGAACACUGAUGAUCGCUGCUCCGAUACCAAAUGAUAAAACCCCUAUGAUUUUAUUGUAGAACAAGAGGGAGAAAAUGGAUGAUCGCUUCGAGAGGAUCAACCUCCUUGAUCACUUCGAAGGGAUCGACCUCCUAAGAUUUGUCAAAAGAUUGAAUAAUAUUUUAUUGAUAACUUAAAAGAAACAGAUAUGUUCCUAUUUAUAAAGUUUCACUCAGAGUUCAUCAACUUAAAUUAUUAAUAAUAAAUAAAUAUUAAAUAAAUCUAUAACUCUUAUCAAAUUAAACAAACUCAAUAAAACAUUAUUCAAAAACUCAAAAAAUAAAAAUAUCCUAACAGUUGAUUUUGUGUGAUCUGUUACAAUCAUCUCGGUGCAUUCAUCUAAUGAUAUUUCGAUCAUGAUUGAUGAUCAUUUGAACUUGUUAUUCGAAAAUCCAAAUCAUCUUUCCAUUCACGACCAAUUCUACAUCGCUCAUUUUAUGUUAGUUUGUUAUAUAGAUAUUCUAUAGUUUUAAAAUCCAAACCAUGUGAGAUAUAUAUAUAUAUAUAUAUAUAUAUAUAUCACAUGGUUUGGAUUUUAAAACUUUAGAAUAUCAUACAAGAUUAAGACCACAAUCCUACUGGUAAAUCCUGACUCCAACAUAUGCCAACAAACUCAUUAUAAAAAAUGUAAAUGGCCAAUGACUAAAAGAGGCAAUAGAUUAAUACAUUACAUAAUAACUCAAAUUUCUUACUAAAUGUCAAGUAAUUAACCAAAUUUAUAUGACUCACAAGCAACUCUAAAUCAUCCUCAACAAAAUAAUAAAAACUAGGAAUAGCCUUGUACUGCAGCAUCCUCCAUCAGGUGGAUCCUUAUUCCUUGUAGUAUUAAAUUUCCAACUUAUCUGGACAAAGAGAAGACGAACAGUUUUCCGGGCAAGAUGGAUCAGUUGCAAAUUUGUCUACAGAGAAAACAUGUACAAACUAACCUUGCAAGUGUACUGAAAAGCAUCGAAUAGCAGAAAUUCUUGAUGAGGAAAAAAGAUUACCCAGGAAACGUUAAGCAGGGCUCUGUGUGGCCUUUAAUACCAACUCCUCGGUGGUGGGGCCUAUGAUCUCGUUGGCCGGCUUCAAAGAAAGGCAGUAUAUUCUUCCAAUAGAGUCCUGAGGGACAAGAAAAUGAGUUCCCACCAACUACAUCAAUGUAAUAAUUUUUUCACUUCAGCCAAAUAUUAAUUGCACAAAGGAAUAGAGAUGAGAUAAUAAAGUAUCACAACACCACCACUUGUGACUCGGAUUUGGUUUUCAUCUAUCACAAAGAUUAUUCUGAUCUCUGGUGAUCAGCAAGUCAUGUCAGGUAUUUAAUACAAGCAAGUUAUCAAAGAUAUACAGAACUAUCAGGGUCAACUAUGGUUGAGAAUGCCUAAAUAUAAUCCUACAUUUCUGAGUAAUGCAUAAGCACAUAUAAACAAUUUGUCAAUGAUCUAGUAUAUUAUGAACAUCCUACAGAAGGGGAAGUUGUUCAACUAGUUGCAACUUUGUUCUUUAUUUGGAGAAGUAAUAUUAUCAACAUAUACAAAGAUUGUUCCCCAGAAAAGAAGACAUCCAGCAAUGCUCUCUAUCAUCUGUGGUUGUUUUGAGUCGUUGAGUUGAAAUACAUUUUCAACUGGAAAAAUCGGAUAACUAAAAGAUAGUUUGGAAAUUCAUCGUUCAUGGCAGCAGCAGAUAUCAAUUGUUUUAAGUAAUGGUAUACCUUUAAUGAUUCACCAAGGAACUAACACAGUGAAAAGCAAAACAUAACAGUGCAAGUAUUUUGUGAACAUACUCUCACAACAAUUCCAAAGUCUCUCUAACUUCUGGACUGCAUCUAAAACCUCGAAAUUGCAUUUCAUUCCGAACUCUUCCUGAAUGAGUUCUUCACACCGAAUAUCAAGAUCCUGCAUGUGUGUUCAAAAGGAAAAGUGAAGAAACCUCACAUGAUCCAAUUUUGACUUUCAGUGAGACAAAGAUACAGAUUAUGAAAAUCCAUAAUUAAUCAGGACCUCCAUUGUGGCCUUUCCUUGCUCCAUCAGAAUAAAAUAAGAAACUAUAACCUCUUUGACCUGCACAUAUGAAGAAUUUUCUUGAUAAGUGGAACAGAGGAGAAAAUGUCGUGCUCAACAGCACUUUUCGAUGUUAUUGCAUGGUUGAUCAGAUAACUCUGUAUGAUAACCUACUUCCUGUUGGAUUACAUCAUCACAUAAGUGUAAAAGUGUGCCUCUCCCACUAUCCAGUUGUCUGUCAUACAUUGACUGUGUGAUUAAAUUCCGGUAAGUUCCAUGUUUUGCUGAAACCUGCAGCGCAAAAUUGCAACUUCAGCAAUAGCUAAGAUCAAGACUACAUGAAAUCAAAAAUACUUAUGUCGUUCACAUAAACAAUGAAACUAUCGUCCCAAAACCCCAUGGGAAGGCAUUAACACACUGGAAAUGCACAUGGAGAAACUAGGUUAAUUGGACCUUAAAGAAGUGAGAUUUGCAAUGAGAUCUGGAAGUAAUGGAGCAGUACUUGUAACUAGUGAGAGAAAAUAUCAAAUGUGAAUGCCUAAGAGGUAUUCCAUUAAGUCAAUCAAGCAUGUGAUUUCAUUGGCAGAAGUCAAAACAAGGUCACAAAAAUUUGAUAUUAGGAACAUGAAAUAGAACCAGAACUUAAGAUAUUACAGGUGCAAUUAUAAAGCCACAUCCAAGUCAUCCUUUCUCAAUUUAAUUCAUAUAUAGGAUUCUCAUAUGUGCAAGCCAACAGUAGAAAUAAAAUAGAAGAAGAGAGUAAAGAAAGAUUUGAGAGGAAUUACAUUCUUGUAGUUAAACUUCACACUUAGACCAAAAAGAGUUACAAAUUGACAGACAUACAUAUAUACAUACAUAAAUAUAUACAUACAUAUACAGAAAUACAUAUGUAUAUAUAUAUAUGUAUAUACACACACAUAUACACAUACAUAUAUAUACAUUAUAUGUAUGAACUUAUGGCUUGUCGUAUAUACAUACAUACAUACAUAUAUAUAUGCCGAUCCCAAAUAGUUGGGACUUAUGGUUUUGUUAUUGUUGUUGUUGUAUGUACAUAUACGUAUGUAUGUAUAUGUAUAUAUGUAUUUAUUUAUCUAAACCUAUUACUUGUCUAGACUAGUAAGGAUUAAGGAAACAUGAAUAAGAACGAGAUACCUCACUUGGGUGCUGCCUUGCCCCGGUCAAUCCUCACAGGCUGCCACGUUGGUCAGUCACCCUCAAGUGGUGAGAUGUUCUGGGCUCUGGCCACAGCUGCUUUGGUCUGUUUGGCCCCAGGAAGAUUGGGAGCCUUUCUUGUUAACCUAGAGCUAUUUAUGAUUGAACUGAAAGAGGAAAUUCAAGCUGGACUGAUUAGGCCCCAAUCCUAUUCCAAGUAAAUGUCAAACUUGUUGACUAAUCAAACUUCAACCGAAGUCAGCUAAGCUCCUUUGCGUAAGUAUUUACAAAGGUAUCCAUGUGGGAUAAAAAUGGCUAAUGUGGUGAGACAAAUCUCUUCAACCAUGUCAAGUAGGUUUCUAAUCUGACUUGGUGCAUUCUGUGGGUCCCAAGCUUCCCGCUGAUGUAGGGAUUACAUGUCAUGCUGGUUAGAAUAUUGCUUCAUAAAAAACCCUCCCUCUUAUAUUCACCUAGUGAAUCACCAAUAUAAAAUGAGGCAACUUAUUCUGAGGCUAUGAGGCUUGAUUUGAUCUCCAUUUUCUAUGAAAUUUAUGGCAAUAUCGAGGGAGUUCCUUUAGAUCAUGUGGAAGUAUUAUUCAACAAUUUUGAAGGUUUGAAAAUGAGGCUUUAGAGGUGAAUAGAUACAAUUUAGUUGGAAUCACAGGCUUGUAGUGACUUGUAUCAGGAUCAUACUUCACCCAUUUUGGUUUUUGUUCCACAACUCCUAGUCAAACUUGCCUUCCCUUGUGAUAAAAUUUGUUGAUACCUUUUUAAGGUUCUAAAUUCAUACACCAUAAACAUUGGUUUGUUGGUAGUGUACAGACUCUCUCACCAAAUGUUGAAGGUUCAAAUUUUCAACUGACACAUUUUUCGAAGAUGUUAGCUAGCUUAGCUGGUAGAGACUUUGAUAGUAUAUCAAGGUCUUGGGCAUGAAUCUCGUCUUCAUCACUUACCCUUUCUGAAAAAAAAAGGUUCUAAAUUCAUCUAAGGUGCCUGCAAAACUUAGCCACCAUAUACCAAGGAUAAGAUCAAAAUUUUUUGAAGGGUGUACCAAAAAGCUCCAUCUCAAAUUAUUCUCCUCAAAUCUCAGAGGAUACUUCAGAAACGAAGGGGAAUAACUCAACGAUCACAACAUCCAAAGGUAGCUUUUUCGAAUUGAUAUAGCUAAUCUUGAAGGUAAGGAGAUUUAGGAGGUAUCACAAAGUAGAAUUUGUUGUCUUGAUAGUGUUUGGGUCUCAAAGUAGAAUUUUUUAUCUGGGUAUAGUUUUUAAGGUACAUAUCACUGUCCUUUACCUGGAUCACCCGGUCGACCCUUUCCUAGGGUUAAGCCAAUCAUGAAGAAGGGGCAAGAAGGUUGGAGUCAUUGACCAUGUUAGCAUUAGCAUAUUAAUUAACAGAUUGUUGUCCAAGCCAUGGUUUGCCUUACCGGUCCAUACCGGUGUACCAAUCGACCAUCGGUAUAAUACAUACUAACGUACCAACACAUGGUAUGAUGGGGUGUACCAACGGACUGAUAUGUACCGGCCAUACCAAUCCUUGUUAAACCAAUACAUACUGCCCAUAUCGAGCAGUAUGCCAUGGUACGACGAACAUUAGUCUAAGCACAAUCAAUUACACUGUUGGUGCAGCAAGUUGUUGGAUAUGGGCUGACAUAACCAAUAUAGGUCAUUCCAGAGGUACUUCUCAUUUUAAAUAGAUCAUGAAGCACUCUCUUCCUGUUUGCCAAGAUUCUCCAAGGUUAGUGCUUCCUCAACCUGUUUUCUUUUAUAUAUAAGCCUAAGAUGAAGGGAUUGAGGUUGUCUUACAAAACAUAAGUAGCUUAUGCUAGGCUUCUACUAACUAGAUAUGGCCGAGAUCUUAGUAUCACCACUGGGUUACAUCUGUCAUCUCCAAUCCAUCCAUCAUGUUCAAUGUUCAUUGAUUUUAAUAAAGCUGCAUAGUUUUUUAUUACAUAGGAACUCCUAAUGGUCUUCAAUCAUGUAUAUAAAAAUAAUUUAACUCCAAAUUGUCUAAACUAACUAGGAUUUAACAAAUAUGAAAGAUAUUAAAAUACCUAUCAUUGGGCUAUUUCCCAACCUUAGCUGACCCUCCUCAUGGGGCCUCUAAGCUAGUAGGUCACCCUAAAGAGGUAUGGUAUCCCAUUCACGCAAUGACCAACUGUAAUAGCUUGCCAGCCCUAUUGAAACUUCCCUCUCUUUGUGUUCUUCCAAGAUGAUUGGACCUUUCUUCAUGACAAUAAUCAAAAUGGACUGAUCCAGAAGGGAAAAAGUUGAGCUUAAUAGGUUCAAUCCCAAUCCAAUUCCAUGUAGGAUUCAAUCAGUUUAACUAGCUAAAAUUUGGCCAAAGUCAUUGAAACUCCCAUGGAACUGUAAUAAGCAUCAAUGAAGGUGUGAUGGGAUGAGCUUGGUCAACCGAUCCUCCUAGUCCUAUCAUGACUGAUAUAGGACUUUGUGAUGAUGACAAUGAUCCAGUGGACAAUAAUAAUUACAUCAAAAACAAAAGAUGAAAUAAAAGAAAAGUAAACUAAUAAUAACAUGCAAACAAAAUGAGAAAAAUUAAACCACAUAAAAACAAAAGUUUCAUUAGAGAACUGUAAGGAUAAGGAAGCGAGAAAGUACUAAUAAAUUCACACCCAAAAAAAAAUCAUAAGUAGAAGUUUCAAAAAGUGCUUAUGAAAAGUAGACCUUAGCGCAAUCGAAACGACACCAGAAAGGAUAGCUAUAGCAACCCAUAUAUCAGCUUUAGGCAUUUCAAGUGAACUAACAAGAGUCACCUGCAAAGAAAUUCAGGGUUAUAAUGCCAAAAAGAAAUUAUGAUUAUAUUCACAAAUGAAUAUAACUGAUUUAUUUUAGACUUACAAGCCCAAUUAUGACAGAAAUGAGAAACUUGACCCAGUCCAUGGGAGUUAAACUUGGAUUUUUCUUUUCAGACUACAAAAUUGAACAUUGCAUCUCAAGUAUCAGAUCAAAAAGGAAAUUUACUGGAAAAAGAUCGCAAUAAGAUCUCUUUUUCCUUAUUUCAAAAGUAAAAUAUAUACCAAUACUAACUCCAUAUCAGCCAUAGGGAUAUUUUUAAAGUGCUUCACAAAAAUUCCUCGAUCUACCAUGUUCUUGGUGCCAGCCCGCCUGUAUAUUGUGAAAACAUGUUAAAUUUCUAGAUUGUUGAAUUUUUUUUUCCUUCCAUGCACAUUCAGUGAUGUAAUUUUAGGAUAUAUACAUGGGCUUUCGUUGAAAGAUCAAGUCUGAAUUUGAAGAAAGAACAAUUAAACACAUACCUAUACACAACAAUCAUCCUAUCAAAAGCAGGCUCUUGUAUCCUAAUCUUGCCAAACAAAUUUUGCAUGCUUUAUGAGCACGCACAUAUAAAACAAAUGAAAAAAUAUAUAAAAACAUCAGUCUUCAAACAUGGAACUGAAUAGAAAAAGAAACAGAAUAUAGACAAAAAUUGAGACCUCAAUUCCAUGUUUUCAAUCCGAAUACAUUCGACAUACAAAUCCUCUUCUGAGUCAGGAUUAGUUUUGUCUGUUUUUUUGGAAUAACUCUUUGUUGUUCUGCUUAAUCUUCUGAAAAAGAGAAUUUGUAGCCUGCAACCAUUUUCAACAGUAAUACCAUUUGUUAAUUGAAUAAGAGAACUAUAAAGAAACAACAAUGAUCAAAUACCUUGUCUUCUUCAGGAACCACAACCAUAUACGAGAAAUGAUCAUAUCCAGUUUCUCCAUUAUAAAGUAAUCAGUUGUUUGAUCUACUCCAAUGCCCCGACGAAAAAUUACAUACUUGUAAGUUGUAACAAACGGUAAACCAUGUUAGGAUGUGAUAAGAAAGACAUAUACAAGUCUUUCAAUGGAUACAAGUUCACACUAAUUGUAACAGAUGAGUCCAGGAAUACCUACAGUCGCAUUUCAUAUAUUAACAAAAAUAUAUAAUGAGACAUUUAAAGCAUAUACUUCUUGACCAACAAGACAAAUCACGGGAAGAAGUGCUCAGGAAUAUUAACUAAUAAAUACAUCUUUUUCCGAAACCAUUCUAAUAUCUCAAGGAACUCUAUCAUAAGUUUAUUACCUUAUCUGAAAAUUCAGGAAGGUUCUCAUGAGGAUGAUCAUUAAAAUAUCUUGAUAAAAGUCUUUUGUCAAGCUGCAUUUGAACAUUUUGAAAUAGGUUGGUGAACAGAACUGUAAUAUGUGAUGCAAAACGAAUUGAAUAUAGAUGAACAGAAUUGUACUUUUCUUUUUGGAAGUAGCAUUUGCACUAACCUUGGACUCAUCAACUUUGAUAGGGAGGUUCAAUAAGUACUGUCCACAAUGUGCAACAUCAAUCUCCUCAUCAGUCACUAUUUUAAAGUUGCUCUGUUCCAUUACCUGCAUUGCACAAAAGAAUGGUAAUAGAGUGCCUUUAAAGCAUGUAGAACAAAAGCCAUGAUUGUCUAAGAAUUGUGAUAAAAUUUUGAAGACUUCAAGUUGUAAAUGAGUUCAUUACUCAUAACCCAAUAUUCAUAGUUUACCAGGAUGAUCCGCAAUCACUUCAAUUCUCCAUUUCUUGUAUGUAGGAGAAGUAAAACCCAAUUUCUAUUUGAAAGCAUAAAGGAAGAUAGGAAUAGGUUUGUUUUUACACCAACUUAAGAAACUGCAUAUCCUAUACAAAGUUUGUUUGCAUAAGUGCAACAGAUCCUCAAGAAAAAAGUUUAUAGGCACAAGUAUUUUUUAUGACGAGGACCAUUCCCAAAAUAUUUCAAGGGCUGAGUUCAUGUGUUAUCAUCUUCAAGUUAAAAGAAACAAUCCAACCACCACCGGAAACUAUAGCUGAGAGGAAAUAAUCCCCCUUGUAGCACCAAUAACAUAUUUAUAAAUCAACAUCAAAUAUCUGAAACAUUUUAUACGAAUGCUAAUUACUUAUUUUUGACAUUAUGUAUGGCAAGUUUAACACUUUGAAAUGAUCAGAACUGAAAUUCAUAAAGAUAUCACAAGUUGUAUAAUCCAUUCAAGUGAUAUUUUUUUAUAACUUAUGUAUCUUGACUUGAUCACCAAUCAUGGAAGUGGUUCUCACUCUAACAUUAAAUUUCAGUAUUUAAAACUUGAGGAACAGCUAUAAAGAUAAUAGGACAGAAACAAUAACUCACCUGAAAGAAGUACAACAAGAAAUUCUAUUCCAGAACAUCAAUCUCUUCGGGAGAUAAGUUUUGCUGAUCCAAUUUGUGAGCACCAUGAACAGGAUCAAAUAGAGAAUAUAAUUGCUGAAAAUAUAAAAACAACUUUAAUAACAAUGAAAUACCUUUAUCUAACAUGAAGAAACUUCAGUUAACAUUAUCGAAUGAAGCAUGAAGAGUAGUGCAACUAUAGGACAUCCAAAAGCAGUGUCAUGCAUGUGCUAACAAUUUUCUUAGGGCACAAGUGGGUAACCAAAAAGAAAAUUGCAAAUGCAUACCAUUAGAUCUUCAAACUGGAGAAGGUACCAUGCUCUAAUAGUAUAUUCAACUCUCUUACAGAGCUUUAAAAAUUCUGCCCUAUCAUAAUCAUGCUCUGCAAUAGAAAAAGUAAAUAUGAAAAAGCAGAAGAGUCCCCAGUUGAGAUGUUCCUAGAAGAGAAAAUCUCAAAAAUAAACAAAGAAAAUGAAUUAGACUACAGCAUGAUAAGGAAUGAACAAAUUGGUAAACCAUGUUUUUCACAUGGAUCCACAUGAAUGAGGCAAGAAACGAAGAGUUCACAAAACCCAGCUGCAGGCUUGAAGCUCUCCCACCAAGCAGUUAAGCGCGUUUUUUCCCCUCAAUGCAGACAAAUCAUAUCAACCAUCAAAGAGAAGAAGAAAAAAAAGAAUAUACUAUAUAUUUGCAGAAACUUUAGGAACAAUAUCCGUCUAAAAUGUCAGAUGAGGGUAUGAAAAAGAGAAAAAAGAAAGGACCAAGGAUUAUGAAGAAGAGGUAGGUGGGCACCGACGAGGACGGCAAGCUUCAUGACGAGCUUAGGCUUGAGGAUGGGGAUGACGGACUCGCGCUCCAGCCGGAUCACGUCCUUGCUGCCGCCCAUCCUCCUCCUCUGGACUAUGCCCCCGCCAGCUUCCAUGUGGUCCACAGAGGUCGGUGGGGAAGAAUACCUCUGUUAUUAGCUACUAGGGUUUUGGAUGUUGGGGGAAUCCAAAGAGGAAGCAACGUAACAGUAAUUUUGGCUGCGUCGGCGGUUACCGUUUCGGUCAUUCUUCCGUCGAAGGCAGCGAGCGAGUCGGACCACCAUUUCUCCGGACUCAAUUGCUCAUGUCGGUGUUUCAUGUAACCAAUAUCUUGAAAACUUAAUCAGAGAAAUGGAAUAUUUAUCUCACAUAAUUUUUAUAUUAUAAUAUAUAUAUAUAUAUAUAUAUAUUGAAAAUUAAUCUGAGAAAUGAAAUAUUUAUCUCACAUAAUUUUUAAAAUAUAAUAUUUUAAUAAUAAAAAAGUCGUGUGAAUAUUAUCUCAUGAAAAUAAGGUGACAAAAGUAAAGUUUUCCAAAUGCAUAGUUCCCACGUUUUCUUUGAAACUGUAAAAUUUCGUCAUAAUAUUCACCGAAAGUGAAGUUUUCAUAAGAUUUGCUCCACAUCAUUUAAAAAAAUAAAAUUUCAUAACAUACCAAACUAUUUUAGCACUACAAAAUAUGAAUAUUAUUUCAUAAAAAGUAUAAUAAUAAUAAAUAAAUUAUCGACUAAGCACGAUAUUUUAAUCGGAUGUGGAGGGUUCAGAAGAUCUUCUUCACCCUAUUUUGACAUGGUACAACAUUUUAGCUUUAGAAACUCAUAUGACUGUUGAUUUAUGAAAAACAUGAUAGACAAAAUUUAUCCAAACUAAAAAAUUCAUGCGAUGUUCUUCGUACCACUUUAAAGUUAUAAAAUUUCAAUAUAGCAUAACAUUUUUUAGCAUUAAAAAAAAUUAUAUGAAUGUUAUUCCAUGAAAAAUUAUGAUGAUUAUACAAUUUAUUAAAAGUGAAAGGUUCAUAAAAUUAUAAAAUUUAUUUUAUGUUAAAAUAGGUGGUUGUAAAAAUUAUCGAAAGUGGAAUGUUCGUAUGAUUUUCUUGGCACCAUUUGAAAAGAAGUACAAUUGUCAUAAAAUUUGUUUAAAAUGGAAGAAUAUGACAUUUCAAAAACAUAAUUUUGACUUAAUAUAAUAUUUUAGAACUAGAAAAAUUAUAUGAAUAUUAUUUCAUGAGAGAAUAUGAUAGUAAUAAAAUUUAUCAAAAGUGAAAGAUUAGCAGGAUCUUCUUUCCACUGUUUUAAAAACAUAUAUUUGACUUAGUACUAUUUUAGCACUAGAAUAAUUGUCUGAAUUUUCUUUUGGCGAAAAAACAUGACAACCUUUGAAUUUGAUGAACAUGAAUGGUUCACAUGAUUUUCUAUAUACCAGUUUUUAAAAACAUAAAUUUUUGAUAAAUUUUAAUUAUUUAAUUCAAGGACCUUCCUAUCAUUUUGCAUUACUAAAUAACAUUUUUAAUCCUCCAUCUUUAGUAAAUCAAAUAAUACACACAAGGAUAAUGUUUUAUAGUGAACUGAUCAUCGAAGCCCAUAUUUGAACCCAACUGAUUUGGUCGAUCAAAUUUUGACGAUUCAUCUUCAAAUCAAGUCUUAUCUUCAUCAUUUAUUUUUUUUUAUAAAAAUAAAUAUUUUUUUUAAAAAAUAUAGUAACAUAGAUCUUAGCAUCAAAUCUUAUUUUCAUGAGGAAUCCUUUGCGAAAAGAUUAAAAUUGUAAAACGUAUUGAUGUAUGAAGUGAUCAAUUGGAUUUUGUUAGACAAAUUAUACAUUGGUAAUUUAAGCCUUUCCUAUCUUCUAAAUUAAAAAAAAAUGAAAAUAAAAAUUGGGCGUUAGUGUAUAUCUUCGUUGGAAAGUCUGCCGUCCUGUGAAAAGAGGUACUAUUAGCGACUGAUGUUUAGACCCCAAAUAUCUGGAAGCUUCGUUGCACUCGCAACAACUAUGCCACGUAGGGAGAAGACGCAACCACUGCGCACUAAAGGACACGCAGCAGUCUUACAACGAAAUGAAGACACGAUGGGCUUUGAUUGGGUCUUCCCGACUCGUUUCCAUGGGCUCGUUAGGCCACACGCGGCGAGGACGGUUGGAAUGCGGUGACUUUUGGACAUCAGAAGAAAACCACGAUUCCCGUCGGACUUUUUCCGUUGCGAUUGCGGUCCUCGCACGUACUCGCGUUUCUGCUGCCCUGCUCCUGCGUCUGAACAAGGUGGGCAUUUAAGCAGCAGCAGUCGGUCUGCAGAGCAUUCAAGGCGCACCAGAGCUUCGGCAGGUAGUCUACUGCUACGAUCAACCCGCCCCACCUUUGGCUUUUCCUCGCAUUGACGCUUCCACCCACCCCCGCCUUCGGUUUUACUUCUCAUCGCUCCUCUGUUGAGAUCUCGGGAGAGGAACAUGGAGCCGGAGGGCGAGGGUCGCCUGCCAAGCCGUGGUGACGGUACCGGAAGCGGUGAUACCGAAGAGAAGAAGGUGGCUCUGAUGAGGAUCUUCGUCGAGGGAAAAGAUCCAGCUGCCAAGGUUCAUCUUCCUCUGUUUCUGUUAAUUUGCUUGGAUAUAGCUGGAUGCGUUUAUAGCUCUUAAUUUUCUUGCUGAGCUUUCAAUUCUGAGCGGCAGAGACUCUAAAAAGGUGGAAGAAAGAACAAAAGUAAGCAGAGUAACAGAGAAUUCGGAGUGGUAUUCCGGGAAAGAUGAAAAUACUCGCAACCAAACGAAAACUAGGAUCCAAGAGAGUCUAACCUAAUUUAUACCGGUAAGAUCUUGCAUAUGGAACUUAUGUCCAUCUUGUUACUGGUUCAGAAUGAGAAGAUUCAGAUAGUGCCUAAGGGUAGGAAUGAAAUAGCUUGAGAGAGUCAGACGCCGAAGGGUCUCUCACCGUCACGUUAUGGCUGCAAUUUUUUUUUUCGCAAAUGAGAUUCAAUCCCAGGAAUUUAAAAUGACCUGACAUAUUGUGUCUCCGGCUACACUAGUUAGCACCUUCACUAUAUGCCUCCAAUUUACUGAAUUGUGUCCACACCCUCUUGCAAGUGUCUCCUGCAGGUGCAAAUUUUGAAGUGCACGGUGCAGUAGAAUGACUACCCAUGUUUUUGUUAGAUGUGUAAGUUUACACCACAUUAUUGAUUGAAUGUUAUUCAUUUUAGACCAUAAAUUGUAAGCUGAGGUAGCUUUAUGGUAGGUACAUCAAGCAAAAAUCGUGACUGCUUGUCUUCCCAACUUUCCAAAGACCAGUGCUUUUUAUAUGCCCAUAAUCACCAGUAGAUGAAGCAGCAGCUCAUAUAACGGGAAAUUAGGAUGAUGGUGGUGAAAGAGCAUAACCAAUUUAACUAAGAGUGAGGAGUCCGUGUUGCAUUUAUGAGUGUCUCCAAUGUUUUCAAGUUUCUGCAGGGCCAAAUUAUGCAGGAACAUAACGUGAAACGUACCACACUCUAAAUUAAUUUUACUUCUUGGAUGUUUCAUUGAACUCAAGUAAGCCUACUUGAUACUUUUUUUACUUGCCUGCGUUUUUGAGUGGUUUCUCUUUCAAUUCAUUGUGUUUCAUUCACAUGGUGGAUUUAAACUCUUCCUUCCCUCACCUUGGAUUCCUGUGAGAAUACGUUCACGGAUGUCACACAUCGUCAUUCAAAUCAACUCCUUUUGGGAGUGGGGUGGAUGGGUGUAUUUUUGUGUCCUCUCUUUUUUGUUUUGAGCAUUCCUCAGAGUGCUAUAGUUAUUACAUCCAUUUUUGCUCUUAGUUUAUAUCUUUCUACAUUGAUGACAGUGCACAUUUAGAUGGUCCAAACAGAUACUCUGCAGAGUUCUAUACUUACUAGUUUUCUCUUAGUUUACAUCUUGCUACAAUGAUGACACUGCACAUUUAGAUGGUACUUCACAUUCCAGACUCAGCACAUGAACCUUGGCAAUGUUUGUCCUUUGUUGUUGGCAUUGUAGAUGCAUCUUCGCCAGUCAUUACCAAUUACUUUUUUUUUUCUCUUUAUUGUUAGCAAAAGGGAGAAUCAAUCCCCUUUUCAUUUCACUAGAACUGAAAAAAAUAUGAACUGGAAAUAUAUGUGAGACUGAGUGAGAGAGAGAGAGAGUACCAACUUGAUGCUCUGUCCUACCAUAAGCUUCCACAAACCUGUUCCAAACAAUAGUUAACUGUAUGUCUAUUUUUUCCCUUGGACAACCAGUUUGUGUAUUCAUCAGGUGGUUUCUUGAUUAAAUGGUACUAAAGGGUAUACCAUACCAUACCAUACAAUAGUUAAAUGCUGUCCCCCUUUUACCACAAGCUAUCGCAAAAGUAGAUUCUUUACUUCUCGGCAUGCAUACCACCAAUAAACAUAGAUGUGCUCGUGAAUUUGUUAAUCCAAUUCUUUAUUCUUCUAGGAAAAUCCAAAUCAGUUACUAUUUUAGCAACGAAAGGGCCAAACUACAGAUUAUAUACCUUUCAUAUGUUAACAUAUAUCAUGCAUCUAGAAGUAUACCUUUCCUGCAAAAACUUCCUGGCAUCUCACGUGCAAGUAUCUGAAAUCCAUGUAUUUGGGAAUUGGAACAAAUGCUAAUUAUUCUUCGGUUAUAAUCAUCCCUGUAACCCUCCUUUCUCCAUUUCCAUGAUUUUUUUAUGAAAAGAAAAAUAACUUCUAUUAUUUCAAAAGCCUAUUACAACCAGCACCUUGCUGGUCCAAAAUAAGUAAAGAGCAUAGGCCUUCUGCCUGUGCUAUCUCCAUUGCCAUAAUUAUAAUAAUAGUAUUGUAUAAGAUGUGACCAUCCUUUUUUCAUCGCUCUUAGUUUAUGUAAUCGUAAAUUUUUUUCAUUUCGAUAUAGAACCAUUCUAUUGGAUGUUGUGCUGCUUAUUUAGAUGUUAUACAUGAUGCUUUAUUAUUUUUACAUUUUCCCUUGGUUAUUGGAUUCCAUUCUUUUUCUUUUGCCCAACACUUAUUUACUUUCAUAUGGUGCUGGUGAUUAAUAAAGCAACUGGGAGUGCCAAAUGCAGGAGGUAGACAACUUUAUGCUCAGAAGGUUCUUGCGUGCACGUGACCUGGACAUUGAGAAGGCUUCUUUUUUAUUUCUAAAAUAUCUUAAGUGGAGGAGAACAGCAGUUCCUAAUGGAUUCAUUUCAGAGGCAGAGAUCAGGAAUGACCUUUCUCUGAAGAAGGUGUUCAUGCAGGGAUUUGAUAAGACUGGCCAGCCUAUAGUAGUUGCUUUUGGUGCUAAACACUACCACUCUAAGCGAAACAUGAAUGAGUUUAGUAGUAAGUGUCACUUGAUAUGAAUAGCAGUCAAUAAAUAGCACAAUUAUCUGUUUGUCUUAUCACCAAAUAAUUGUCACUUAUUAAAGACACAAAGUAUGAGUUGAAGCAUAACAAAACCCUGUUACUAACAUUGUGGAUGAAAUUUCAGGUUUUGUCAUAUAUGUUCUUGACAGAAUAUGUGCCAGGUAACUAUAAACAAUGUGCUGUUAGUAAGAAAGUUUAUUUUUCAUUUCACGUGAUUCUAUUUUAACUAUCUCAAUUCUGAACCAUAAUGUAAAGACAAUGAAUUGACAAAUAUUUUAAUUGUUUGAAGCAUGAUUAAGUACUCAUAGACGUUCUUUGAUGCUAUAGAUGUGCUUUUAUCUAAACCUUGACGUGCUUGCAGAAUGCCUACAGGUCAGGAGAAGUUCACUUGCAUUGGUGAUCUUAAAGGUUGGGGAUUAUCAAACUGUGACAUUAGGGCAUGCAUCGCAGCUCUAGACAUUAUGCAGGUUUGUCCUAUGAAGCAAAUUAUUGACCAAAGUAACUAGGAAAACUAUUCAGAUUAAGGAUUUACUUGAUAACCUUGAACACAGUGAUAUUUCUUUUUUACUUCAUAAGAUAGCGUAAGAGUUGCCAAACUAUUUGUCAUUCCUCAUGCCAACUAGAUACAUUAGUAUCUAAUGGAAGGAGCAUCAAGAUUUAAAUUGGACAUCAAGGUUUCUUUAGGAUCAUUAUAUGGAUGAUUAUAUAGAUGAUAUCUUUCAAAUUCCUUUCUGGCCCCCAAGGCUAUCACCGAGAAUACUUUGUAUGAUUCCCACUUCUCUGUUGUAACCAGGACCCUAGAUAUUAAAGAUAGACAUCUCUUCUUUCUCCUAUUUCACUCUUUUGUCUUUCUCCUAGUAUGAAGAAUAAGAGUGAAUAGAACGAAUAUCUUCUGAGGAAGGAUAAGAAAGAAUUCAGUGACUUUCUUGAAAAAAGAGUAACCUAAGACCAUUCUGAAGUAUCAGUGAAAUCAUCGAUCAAAUAGAACCUUUGUUAAAUGAUAGGAGGAUCUUGACAUCAAUAAUGGGAAAGGAUUAGUUAAGUUCAUACGUAGAGGUAUAUGUCAAAAGUAUGGUAUGCAAUACAUUCAGAUAUAUUUGAUAUCCAGAGUUUAGUGAAAGCGUGAACAACCAAAUUGUAAUCAACAUUUGUAUGUAAAAAUUUUGACAUAAAUAUAUAAAUGUAGACCAUAAGGUUUUAUCAUAGAAGAAAUGAGAGAAAAUAGGAUGAUCACUUCGAGGAGAUCGACCUCUUAAGGUUUGUCAGAAGACUGAAAUAAUAUUUCAUUGAUUGUCUAAAAGAAACGAAAACAUCCCUUUUUAUAGAGUUCCAUCUAAAGUCCACCAGGACUUGGACUCUUAAUAAAUAAAUAAAUAUCAAAUAAAUCUCUAUCUGACUCUUAGACCAACUCAAUAAAAUAUUUAUUCAAAGCUCAUAAAAUAAAGGCAUCCUAACAAUUCCUCCCCCUUCAAAUCAAUCUUGUUCUCAAGGCUGAACAACAUCAAACUCGGGGAGCUUCUCUUUCAAUACUUCAAUCAUAAUGUAUCUACGAUGCAUCACAACCCGUUAAUCAAGUAAGUACGGGCUCCACUUUUUGAUAGUGUAAGUAAUAUGUCAGCCUUUUAGUAUAGUAAUCGUUGUAGUUUUCUAAAGAACCAUCUCCAUCUAAUGGCUAGUGGCAGUUGUGACCUUACUUCCACAUCUUCCCCUUAGGAUCAUUUGCUUUCCAUUAAUAAAAAAAACUCAAGAUUAGUUUAGAAAAAUUCUAAAAAACAUCACCCAGGGUCGAUAGCCAUUCAAUUCUAAGCACCACUUCAAAAUCUUCUAAGGAUAGCAAAAAAAAGUCCAUAAGCAACUCUUGGCCCUGUAUAAUCAAGUUUAUCUUUGAAUAUUUGCCAUCACAAGUUAAAAUACAUCCAUUAAUAAUUUUUACUUCGAAUUUGUCAUAAUCUUCAAUGUGGUAGGCCAAUCUGUCGGGAACUUUACUAUCCAUAAAAUUAUUAGUACUACCAGUAUCAAUCAAAAUUAUAACAUACUGAUGUUCCAAAGUUCCUCCAACUUUCAUAGUUUGCGGGUCAGAAUAGCUCGCUAAUGUAUGUACUGUAUGUAUAAUAAGUCUAACAUCUUCAUCAAAAUCUAUACCUUCAUGAUCGGAGUCCAUGUUGUUAGCUUCUGGUUCCUUCCUAAUUUGUUCAAUCAUUAGAAGUUGCCCUUGUUUACAUUAGUGCUCCUUACUCCACUUUUCAUCAUAAUGCCAGCAUAAACCCUUCGCUGAUCUUUUCUUGAGUUCUUCUCGGGUUAGUCUUCGGGUGUUCAGGCUUCAGUUGGGAAUAGAUGGGGCAGGUGUUAGAACCCUUGCAGAUUCUAAACUUGGGGUUGAUCUCUUUAGGGGAUCGGCCUCCUUGGAACUCUAUAGGGGUUUCUCCUUCCAAGUUGCUGCUCAAAGGCUGCAGAAAAGAUUCAUCUAUUGCUUAUUAAAAAAGAGAAGGAAUACAUGGCUAUUUAUAGGGCUUCUAAACCCUAACUCCUAAUAGAACUCCUACUUAAAACUCUUACUUCUAACCAAUUCCUAAUAGGACUCCUACUCAAGACUUCUAUUCCCUUACAACUCCUAAUUCUUCUAUAAGAAAAAACCUCCUACAUGAAUGCCCCUCUCAAUUAGGACUCUCCUAGCUAGAGUCCUAACAGAAUGUCCCUCUCAAUUAGGACUCUCCUAGCUAGAGUCCUAACAGUUUUACAUGAAUGUCCCUCUCAAUUAGGACUCUCCAAGCUAGAGUCCUAACAGACCCGUCCUCUUCAAAUCAGCCUUGUCCUCGAGGUUGAUGAUUC